CCUACGGGAGGCAGCAGUGGGGAAUAUUGGACAAUGGGGGAAACCCUGAUCCAGCGACGCCGCGUGAGUGAAGAAGUAGUGCGGGACGUAAAGGUCUAGCAGCAGGAAAGAAAAUGACGGUACAUGAAUAAGAAGACGCGGCUAACGACUUGCCAGCCUCCGCGGUAAGACGUAGGGGGCAAGCGUUAUCCGGCUUUACUGGGUGUAACGGGAGCGUAGACGGCAGCGCAAGUCUGGAGUGAAAUGCCGGGGCCCAACCCCGGAACUGCUCUGGAAACUGUGAAGCUGGAGUGCAGGAGAGGUAAGCGGAAUUCCUGGUGUAGCGGUGAAAUGCGUAGAUAUCAGGAGGAACACCGGCGGCGAAGGCGGCUUACUGGACUGUAACUGACGUUGAGGCUCGAAGGCGUGGGGAGCAAACAGGAUUAGAUACCCCAGUAGUC
rnacentral:rRNA from 1 species